AUGCAUAAUCUUCAUUCAUCAUACAAAACCUUCAAUCCUCAUUUUUCAUCUUCAACCUUUCAACCUCUCUCUUUGAACCGCAUCAAGAUCUCUAUCAUCUUUCUAUGCAACAUAAAAAAACGCCUACUCUUCAUCCCUCCAACCUUUCAUUCUCUUCAUCACUAUAACAUACUUCAACUUCACUACUUCGGAUAUCUUCAUCUUCAACCUCACUUAAUCAUCCCCAUAAUCAUCAUCGUCCUCUAUCUGGUUUUCUCUGCACUCUCCACCAAACGUUAA